GAAGAGGCAUAUACAGCAGAUGGCUUGAGAUAUUACAUAAACCAUGUUACAAAAACUACUACCUGGUCACAUCCCAAAACAGGCGUCCAGCACAUGAUGUCUUCUCUCGAGCCCAAGUCAGCUGCUCCCAGGAAACUCUCAGCCUAACUGUGCCAUUAUGUUCUUACCUAAUGAGUCUCCACAAAUCAAGGAACAUAGAAGCCUUGGCUUGUUUUACUUUUAAUCAUAUCUGUCUGAUGACAUUAUUUCUGUGUCAACUUGAACAAACAUAUUUACAUAUAUUUAUGGGGUAUGUAGCCUCCUUUAAACUAUGCAAUAGUGUAUUGUGCACCUCGGUGAGUUGGUUGCUUUAUUUUUGAUAAUGAUAACAAUGUUUUUGUACAAUGGACAUUUCUACUCUAAUUUUCUGCAAGUCUUCCAUUUUUUUUUCUAUUGUGUGUAGGGCAUAUACAUUUAUUAUGAUGGUCCAAAGAUCUGGAAAAAUGACUUUCGUAACAUCAGUCAAUGAUGUUUAUGAUCCCUGUUUUUCAACUUCUAUUUGUUCAAUUUACAAGUUUGUAAAUGUUGAAAAUAUUUUAGUGGAGACAGCUAAAUUGACUUCAACUGCUAAUAGUCAUUAGAAACAUAGUUAAAUUUCAAGAAUCUCCAUAUCAAAUAAUGCAUAAUUACAGAUACAGAAGAUGUAUAAUGGAUCCAUUUUUUUAACUACAAGAACAUAUACAUCUAUUUUGGGGUAUUUUUCUGGUUAAAAAUGACCAAAUUAGAUUUUUUAAUGCAUAUAUUUUUAUAUAUCCCAUGUCCCAACAACUUUUAAAAGCACUGUCAAAGAAUAACAAUGAUUGGUUGUGGAAUGUUGUCAAACAUAUUGAAAUGUUGCAGCUUUUAAUGUAGAUGUGAAAUCAUUUUUACUUCUUUUGUUUUUUUUUUACCAGUUGUCCUGAGUUCAGAAAUUCUUAGUCUGUUAAGGAUCUGAUGGAUUUUAGAGUUGUGAUACGAAGUCUAGUCAUAAACAGGUUGUACCUCAAUUUUUCUGACAGAUUAAACUAUAUCUGCCCCAACUGAUUUGCCUGCUACAAUGCUGAUUCAUCAGUGACAAUGUAUUUGUGGAAAUAGUUAUGCAAAAAUAUGUUGUUCUUUUUUGAAUAAGUAUUUUUGGAAGUGAUUGUUCCUUGGAAUUUAUGCGUUUGAAAUGAGAUAUAAAGGACUUUUGCUUAUUUGGAUGUUAAAGUGUAAAAGUCAUAUUUAAUCAUGAAAUGGUUGGACUGGUACAUUUAUCUGCUAGCAAUUUUGUAAAUUUAUAUUAACUUUUCUUCCUGUUUCCAUAAAUUUGGAUUAUGCAAAACUGAUUGCAAACUGCAAAUUAAAAACAAGAAUGCAGCAUCCUUUCAAUAUGUGGACUUUGAAUCAGAGUUUAUACUUUAGUUUAAACAAAUUAGAAAUAUUAACAAUUUUGUGUACUCUAAAUUACAACAAAUCUACCGAUACUUGUGAUAUUCCUAAGUAGUUAGUUUACAUACUAUGCCUAUUUUAUAAUGAUCUUAUCCUGUCUCUGAGAUUUUCCUCCGUCCCACUGGAUUCAAUUUUCAAAAUUGAAAAAGAAUAAAUGCUUAUCACAUAUU
rnacentral:misc_RNA from 1 species